rnacentral:rRNA from 1 species
AGCGAACGCUGGCGGCAGGCCUAACACAUGCAAGUCGAACGGCUCUUCGGAGCAGUGGCGGACGGGUGAGUAACGCGUGGGAACGUGCCCUUUGGUACGGAACAACUGAGGGAAACUUCAGCUAAUACCGUAUGUGCCCCUCUUCUUAGCGGAAGGGGUGGGAAAGAUUUAUCGCCAUUGGAGCGGCCCGCGUUGGAUUAGGUAGUUGGUGGGGUAAAGGCCUACCAAGCCUACGAUCCAUAGCUGGCUGAGAGGAUGAUCAGCCACACUGGGACUGAGACACGGCCCAGACUCCUACGGGAGGCAGCAGUGGGGAAUCUUGCGCAAUGGGCGAAAGCCUGACGCAGCCAUGCCGCGUGUAUGAUGAAGGGUCUUAGGAUUGUAAAAUACUUUCACCGGGGAAGAUAAUGACGGUACCCGGAGAAGAAGCCCCGGCUAACUUCGUGCCAGCCGCCGCGGUAAC